GAGACCACAGGGAAGAAAAGACACCAGAUGUUUCCGAUCAAGAGACAAGAGAAACAUUCAGCGUGACCCUAGAAAAUCUUUCUAAAGAGAUUUCACAACACUCAGCUCAUGUUUCGGGUCCAUGAAACCAUCUUUAGAUGAAUGAUGCCUUGUUACCUGUGAGAGGAAGUGAGCAGCGAGGAGUCCUGUCAGUUCCGGAAGGAGUAUUUGGGUUACUGUUCUUCAUUGUCUGCAGUUCUGGUCUUGCUCAGUCGCCCAGGCUGAAGUGCAGUGGUGUGAUCAUAGCUCACUGCAGCCUCAACUUCCUGGAGUCAAGCAAGCCUCCCACAUCAGCCUCCUGAGUAGGUGAGUAGGUGGGACUACAGGUGUGUGUCAUUACAUCUGGCUAAUUUUUAAUUUUUUGAAAUAGAGACAGGGUUUUACUAUGUUUACCAGGCUGGUCUCAAACUCCUGGCUCAAGUGUUCCUUCCACCUCAGCUUCCCUGUGUUAGUCUGGUUCCACACUGUUAUAAAGAACUACCUGAAACUGGGGAAUUUAUGAAUUGGAGACCUGUUGUGUGUUACCUUUGGAAGGUUUUCCACAGUUGAGAUCCAGUUGCUCCAGCAUCAUUUGUUGAGUGGUCUCUCUUCAUCCACAGAGCUCCAGAGUGUCUCCUCUUACAGGACUUCUACACGUGUACGUCUCUUUUGGGGCUCUUUGUUUUGUUCUACCGGUUGAUGUCAUUCCUGGCACUACCAGCUUUCUGCCUAAAUUGCCAUAGCUUUAGUAGAAACUUGAAUUCUUGCGUAGCAAGCUCUCUUUCCUGUUCAUCUUCAAGAAUAUCUAAGAUAUCUUUCAAU
rnacentral:lncRNA from 10 species